rnacentral:rRNA from 1 species
UACGGGGGGAGCAAGCGUUGUUCGGAUUUACUGGGCGUAAAGGGCGCGUAGGCGGCGCAACAAGUCACUUGUGAAAUCUCCGGGCUUAACCCGGAGCGGCCAAGUGAUACUGUCGUGCUAGAGUGCGGAAGGGGCUACUGGAAUUCUCGGUGUAGCGGUGAAAUGCGUAGAUGUCGAGAGGAACACCUGCGGCGAAGGCGGGUAGCUGGGCCGACACUGACGCUGAGGCGCGAAAGCCAGGGGAGCGAACGGG